GGGGAUAACACUUGGAAACAGGUGCUAAUACCGCAUAAUAGUCGACACCGCAUGGUGUUGAUUUGAAAGACGCUUUCGGGUGUUACUGAUGGAUGGACCCGCGGUGCAUUAGCUAGUUGGUGAGGUAACGGCUCACCAAGGCGAUGAUGCAUAGCCGACCUGAGAGGGUGAUCGGCCACACUGGGACUGAGACACGGCCCAGACUCCUACGGGAGGCAGCAGUAGGGAAUCUUCGGCAAUGGACGAAAGUCUGACCGAGCAACGCCGCGUGAGUGAAGAAGGUUUUCGGAUCGUAAAACUCUGUUGUUAGAGAAGAACAAGUAGGAGAGUAACUGCUCUUACCUUGACGGUAUCUAACCAGAAAGCCACGGCUAACUACGUGCCAGCAGCCGCGGUAAUACGUAGGUGGCAAGCGUUGUCCGGAUUUAUUGGGCGUAAAGCGAGCGCAGGCGGUUUCUUAAGUCUGAUGUGAAAGCCCCCGGCUCAACUGGGGAGGGUCAUUGGAAACUGGGAGACUUGAGUGCARAAGAGGAGAGUGGAAUUCCAUGUGUAGCGGUGAAAUGCGUANAUAUAUGGAGGA
rnacentral:rRNA from 1 species